GCUGAGCACAACGCAGCUCCGCCCUCGCAAAGGCACAGCGCGGGCGCAGGCGCCCAGAGGCGCACAGGAGACCUCAGGCCCAGACUCCACUCCCCAGCUGUGAAAGGACUGCUGGCCAGACCCCCAAGCUAGCCCGCCAGGCCUCCAUAGAGCUGCCCAGCAUGGCUGCAUCCAGUACCAAGAGUUGGUGGGAGACGGGUGAGGUAUAGGCUCAGUCUGCGGCCAAGACUCCGUCCUGCAAGGAAGGAGUGAUUGGCUGCUGGUCCUGCCCUGUCCGAGGAGGAGGACGGAACCCACCCACCAAGCUGUGGAGAGGUGGACCCCACAAAUCCCCUCGCAAGCCACGUCUGAGAGCGAGCAGAGGGAAGAAACUCAAGCGUUUGUAGUCCUCUUUCUUAACAACCAGGCUUAAAGCGCCAUCUUGUGUCUUGAAGGCAGAAGGAGAUCAGGAUGUGUGUGCUAGAAGCAGGCAGAGGAUCUUCACCAAUGUCUCAAAAACUAGAGAAGGAAACAUGGCGAUCCUCAAGGCCCGCGGCGGCCCCAGCCCUUCCCGCACCCUGCGAUAGUCUGGUGUUGGGAGGGUGGCCCACGUGUCCAAGCAACCACAUCAGGGAGGUUCUGGGAGAGGAGAAGGCAAAGCUCAUGCCCUCAUGAGGCAGGCAGUCCCAUCCAGGACUGGACUGGAUGAGCACCAAUAAAUAAGAAAACACAGCUGGCAGCUGACUGUGAAGGGUCUGGACAGGGUGCCGAAGUGAAGCGUAAUGAGCUGGAUAGUGAGGACCUCACUACAGAGGGACAUCUAUCUACACACAGCCUGAAGGGUGAGAAAGAUGGAUCCUUGCCCUGAGCCAGAAGUGCACACCCCAGAGAGAGCAGCUCCUGCGGAGGUCCUGUGGGGCAGGCAUGGUAGGAAUAUUAAAGAGAAGAAGCCAGGUGUGGCUGCAGCCAUGCAGGAGGAAGGGCGAUGGGGUUGGGGAGGCAGAGGAUGGGACUGGCAUGAGAAGAUGGAGAUGCAGAGCCCAGAUCGUGAUAGCCCCAAUAGUCCACGGGUAGGAGUUUGUAUUUUCUACUAAAAGCAAUGGGAGGGCGGGGCGCGGUAGCUCAAGCCUAUAAUUCCAGCACUUUGGGAGGCCGAGGCGGGUGGAUCACCUGAGGUCAGGA
rnacentral:lncRNA from 1 species